UUAGAGGAAGUAAAAGUCGUAACAAGGUCUCCGUUGGUGAACCAGCGGAGGGAUCAUUACUGAGUUUACGCUCUACAACCCUUUGUGAACAUACCUAUAACUGUUGCUUCGGCGGGUAGGGUCUCCGCGACCCUCCCGGCCUCCCGCCUCCGGGCGGGUCGGCGCCCGCCGGAGGAUAACCAAACUCUGAUUUAACGACGUUUCUUCUGAGUGGUACAAGCAAAUAAUCAAAACUUUUAACAACGGAUCUCUUGGUUCUGGCAUCGAUGAAGAACGCAGCGAAAUGCGAUAAGUAAUGUGAAUUGCAGAAUUCAGUGAAUCAUCGAAUCUUUGAACGCACAUUGCGCCCGCCAGCACUCUGGCGGGCAUGCCUGUUCGAGCGUCAUUUCAACCCUCAAGCUCUGCUUGGUGUUGGGGCCCUACAGCUGAUGUAGGCCCUCAAAGGUAGUGGCGGACCCUCCCGGAGCCUCCUUUGCGUAGUAACUUUACGUCUCGCACUGGGAUCCGGAGGGACUCUUGCCGUAAAACCCCCAAUUUUCCAAAGGUUGACCUCGGAUCAGGUAGGAAUACCCGCUGAACUUAAGCAUAUC
rnacentral:rRNA from 1 species